rnacentral:rRNA from 1 species
UACGGGGGGGGCAAGCGUUGUUCGGAAUUACUGGGCGUAAAGGGCGCGUAGGCGGCGCACCAAGUCAGGCGUGAAAGCCCUGGGCUCAACCCGGGAAUUGCGCUUGAGACUGGUGUGCUAGAGUACGGGAGAGGAUAGUGGAAUUCCCAGUGUAGAGGUGAAAUUCGUAGAUAUUGGGAAGAACACCGGUGGCGAAGGCGGCUAUCUGGACCGUAACUGACGCUGAGGCGCGAAAGCGUGGGGAGCAAACAGG